UUGUGAAAUCAAAAUAAGAUAUGAAAACAUUAAUGAACAAUACUUGGUGGUGGAAGAAUUUACGUCAAACGUCGUGAACUAAGCUUCCUAUGGUAUUUUCAAAACUAUAAAUUUAAAAGGCUUGUC
rfam:Flavobacteriaceae bacterium CRH Contig12, whole genome shotgun sequence.